GCUGGGCAUGGUGGUGUAUGCCUGUAAUCCCAGCUACUUGGGAAGCUGAGGCAGGCGAAUUGCUUGAACCAAGGAGGUGGAGGUUGCAGUGAGCUGAGAUUGAGCCACUGUACUCUAGCCUGGGUGACACAGUGAGACCCUGUUUUAAAAAGAGAGAAUAAAGCAUUAUUGAGUCCAGGAGUUCAAGGUUCAGUGAACUAUGAUCAUGAUACUGCACUCCAGCCUGGGUGACAGAGUGAGAUCCUGUCUCU
rnacentral:sRNA from 1 species